rnacentral:rRNA from 1 species
AUUGAACGCUGGCGGCAGGCUUAACACAUGCAAGUCGAGCGGGGUGAUGGUGCUUGCACUAUCACUUAGCGGCGGACGGGUGAGUAAUGCUUAGGAAUCUGCCUAUUAGUGGGGGACAACAUCUCGAAAGGGAUGCUAAUACCGCAUACGUCCUACGGGAGAAAGCAGGGGAUCACUUGUGACCUUGCGCUAAUAGAUGAGCCUAAGUCGGAUUAGCUAGUUGGUGGGGUAAAAGCCUACCAAGGCGACGAUCUGUAGCGGGUCUGAGAGGAUGAUCCGCCACACUGGGACUGAGACGCCGGCCAGACUCCUACGGGAAGCAGCAGUGGGGAAUAUUGGACAAUGGGGGGAACCCUGAUCCAGCCAUGCCGCGUGUGUGAAGAAGGCCUUAUGGUUGUAAAGCACUUUAAGCGAGGAGGAGGCUCUUUUGGUUAAUACCCAAGAUGAGUGGACGUUACUCGCAGAAUAAGCACCGGCUAACUCUGUGCCAGCCGCCGCGGUAA